UCCCUGAUGGUCUAGUGGUUAAGACUCUGUGCUUCCGCUGCAGGGGGUGUGGGUUUGAUCCCUGAUCAGGUAA
rnacentral:tRNA from 1 species